UACGUAGGGACCAAGCGUUGUUCGGAUUUACUGGGCGUAAAGGGCGCGUGGGCGGCGCGGUAAGUCACUUGUGAAAUCUCUGAGCUUAACUCAGAACGGCCAAGUGAUACUGCAGUGCUAGAGUGUGGAAGGGGCAAUCGGAAUUCUUGGUGUAGCGGUGAAAUGCGUAGAUAUCAAGAGGAACACCUGAGGUGAAGACGGGUUGCUGGGCCAACACUGACGCUGAUGUGCGAAAGCCAGGGGAGCAAACGGG
rnacentral:rRNA from 1 species